CCACCACCCGGCCCGAAAGACCACCCUUCCGAUAAAUACGGGAACCUUCCCCGACAGCAUGUGAACCAUAUGCGCGGCCAGAGAACAUUUACAUGUUUUUGUUCCAUGUAUAUAUCUGCAUCCAGGUAAACUGUAAUGUGCUGAAAGCGGCAAACACUGAAGAGUCCUAGACACCUCGAAGGAAGAAGUCCCAUGCUUAUCAAAAAUUAAUUAAUAAAAAAGCGUUGCUACCGUAAAGGCUUGACCCUCCCAUGCGUUUCCGUAAGCAUUGGAAAUUUACGCCUGGCGUAUCUCCGUAAUGUUACGUAUUUCAAACAGAGAUUUUUUCGUUUCUUAAAUAACUCUUUUUAACUGUUCAUAGGGAAAGCGUAAUGUGUGUGUGUGUGUUACAUGCUUGGGGGUGCGUGACCCCAUACCUGUACAGAGGGUUGCAAAAACGGUCUAAUCCCCCAAUCCCGGGGGGUGGUAGUGGUCAGCCAUCCCCCCAUCCUGGCUGGGGUGACCGACUCCCAUCUCCCAUCUUAGGGGCCCGGUGCUAAUCCCAUCCCUUGAGACAGGUUUCCCAUCCUGCCAGCCUGGGUCCCAUCCCCAAUCCUAUGGCCAGGGAUUCCAAUCCCAUCCUGCAGCUGUGUUCCCCCAAUCCUCAACCUGCCAGCCAGGGUCCCUUCCCAAUCCCUUCGACCAGGGCCAUCCCCAUCUUGCAGCUGUGUCCACAACCGAAAGCUGUCAGCCAGGGUCCCAUCCCCAUCCCUUGCCAGCUACAAACCUACUCCUUACGUUUACACAGGUGCUGUAAUAUCGGCUUUCUCUUUAGGCGUAAAUCAGGGGAAUUGACCAGGGUUAUUUUCUAUUUCCGCGAGGUAUUUUUCUCUUGCUCUAUGGCUUAUUUCCUCUAGCGUCAAAUUCCGCCCGGCUGUGUUCGUUCCGAAGCAGACUGAAGCGACAAACGCUCGUUGAAGCGGAUCUCGACUGAGGAGGAACUCGCAUCACAGAGGUCUACGUAUCUAAUUGCAAACUGGCUGCUAGUG
rnacentral:lncRNA from 1 species